UUGGAGGGCAAGUCUGGUGCCAGCAGCCGCGGUAAUUCCAGCUCCAAUAGCGUAUAUUAAAGUUGUUGCAGUUAAAAAGCUCGUAGUUGAAUUUCGGGAUCAAAUAAUCGGUCGUGCCUCCGGUACGUACUGGUUUUAUUGGUUCCUCCCUUCUGACGAACCAUGAUGUCAUUAAUUUGAUGUGGUGGAGAAUCAGGACUGUUACCUUGAAAAAAUUAGAGUGUUUAAAGCAGGCUAACGCCUGAAUACAUUAGCAUGGAAUAAUGAAAUAGGACGUUCGACCCUAUUUUGUUGGUUUCUAGGAUCGACGUAAUGAUUAAUAGGGAUAGUUGGGGGCAUUAGUAUUCAAUUGUCAGAGGUGAAAUUCUUGGAUUUAUUGAGGACUAACUACUGCGAAAGCAUUUGCCAAGGAUGUUUUCAUUAAUCAAGAACGAAAGUUAGGGGAUCGAAGACGAUCAGAUACCGUCGUAGUCUUAACCAUAAACUAUGCCGACUAGGAAUCAGACGAAGUUAAUUUUUUAAUGACUCGUUCGGCGCCUUACGGGAAAC
rnacentral:rRNA from 1 species